CGGGUUUGUUUGCUCUUCGGCGCAGUCGGGUUUGUUUUUCAAAGCAUUUGGUAAGUGUUCUCCUGGCGCGUCCUUAAGCCGCAGGUGUUUCCUCCCUUGCCUGUCGGUGAUGCGCCCGCCUCGCCUCGCUCGCUAAUCAGCUGAGCGAGGCAUCUU
rnacentral:sRNA from 7 species